rnacentral:rRNA from 1 species
UACGUAGGGGGCAAGCGUUAUCCGGAAUUACUGGGUGUAAAGGGAGCGUAGACGGUGAUGCAAGUCUGGAGUGAAAGGCGGGGGCCAACCCCCGGACUGCUCUGGAAACUGUAUGACUGGAGUGCAGGAGAGGUAAGCGGAAUUCCUAGUGUAGCGGUGAAAUGCGUAGAUAUUAGGAGGAACACCAGUGGCGAAGGCGGCUUACUGGACUGUAACUGACGUUGAGGCUCGAAAGCGUGGGGAGCAAACAGG